CAUGGAUUUGUGUCCUGGGAUGGGGUUUCCCAGGUGGGGUGGGAUGGCACCAUGUCCUCCAUGGAUUUGUGUCCUGGGAUGGGGUUUCCCAGGUGGGGUGGGAUGGCAUCAUGUCCUCCAUGGAUUUGUGUCCUGGGAUGGGGUUUCCCAGGUGGGGUGGGAUGGCAUCAUGUCCUCCAUGGAUUUGUGUCCUGGGAUGGGGUGUCCCCCUUGGGGUGGGAUGGCACCAUGUCCUCCAUGGAUUUGUGUCCUGGGAUGG